rnacentral:rRNA from 1 species
CUAUGCGCCUUGCCAGCCCGCUCAGGUGUGCCAGCCGCCGCGGUAAUACGGAGGAUGCGAGCGUUAUCCGGAUUUAUUGGUUAAAGGGUGCGUAGGUGGUUAAUUAAGUCAGCGGUGAAAGUUUGUGGCUCAACCAUAAAAUUGCCGUUGAAACUGGUUGACUUGAGUAUAUUUGAGGUAGGCGGAAUGCGUGGUGUAGCGGUGAAAUGCAUAGAUAUCACGCAGAACUCCGAUUGCGAAGGCAGCUUACUAAACUAUAACUGACACUGAAGCACGAAAGCGUGGGAUCAAACAGG